AUACGGAGGACGCGAGCGUUAUCCGGAUUCAUUGGGUUUAAAGGGUGCGCAGGCGGCCGUGCAAGUCAGCGGUGAAAGCCCGGGGCUCAACCCCGGAAGUGCCGUUGAUACUGCAUGGCUGGAAUGCGGUCGAGGCGGGCGGAACGUGGGGUGUAGCGGUGAAAUGCGUAGAUAUGGCACAGAACGCCGAUAGCGGAGGCAGCUCGCCAGGCCAUCAUUGACUCUCGGGCACGAAAGGGUGGGGAUCGAGCAGGAUUAGAUACCCUGGUAGUCCACGCCGUAAACGAUGGGCGCUCGUCGUCGGCGGCAGACAGUCGGCGGCCAAGCGAAAGCGAUAAGCGCCCCACCUGGGGAGUACGGUCGCAAGGCUGAAACUUAAAGGAAUUGACGGGG
rnacentral:rRNA from 1 species